UACGGAGGGGGCUAGCGUCGUUCGGAAUUACUGGGCGUAAAGCGCGCGUAGGCGGUCAGCAUAGUCAGGCGUGAAAGCCCCGGGCUUAACCCGGGAAUUGCGCUUGAUACUGGUUGACUGGAGUUCGGAAGAGGAGAGUGGAAUUCCCAGUGUAGAGGUGAAAUUCGUAGAUAUUGGGAAGAACACCAGUGGCGAAGGCGGCUCUCUGGUCCGACACUGACGCUGAGGCGCGAAAGCGUGGGGAGCAAACAGG
rnacentral:rRNA from 1 species